ACCCUUUGGGUUCGUUUGCUUAGCCAAUUACAGAUCCACCUAACCGUAGUUUUGCCUAGCCCACAUUUUACUAGUUUGUUUGCCAGAAGGUCGUGAGGGACUUUGUCGAAGGCCUUACUGAAACCUAGGUAUGCUACAUCCACGGCAUUCCCUGUAUCGACCCAACUCGUAACUCUAUCGAAAAAAGAGAUAAGAUUAGUCUGGCAUGACUUGUUUCUGGUAAAUCCGUGUUGACUAUUAGCAAUGACUGCAUUUGUUUCUAAGUGUUUGCAGACCACUUCCUUAAUGAUCUUUUCCAGAAUUUUGCCUGGUAUGGACGUGAGGCUGACCGGACGGUAAUUGUUUGGAUUGUUCUUUUUUCCCUUCUUGAAGAUAGGGACCACAUUUGCCCUCCUCCAAUCUUCUGGGACUUCUCCUGUUCUCCAAGAACUCUCGAAGAUAAUUGUCAGUGGUUCUGAAAUAACCUCAGCUAGUUCCUUCAAUACUCUUGGAUGUAGCUGAUCUGGCCCUGGGGACUUGAAUUCGUUUAGAGCGGCCAGUUGUUCCUGGACAACUUGUCUCCCUAUUUGGGGUUGGAUUUCCCUGAAUCCUUCCAUUUCAUGUUGCUGAGGUUGAAGAUGGCUUUCUUUUUGUGAGAAGACCGAGGCAAAGAAGGCAUUAAGCAGUUCUGCCUUUUCCCUGUCCCCUGUCACCAUCACCCCAUCUUCUCCUUGCAGAGGCCCUAUCGCCUCCUUUUUCUUCCUUUUUCUACCAAAGUAAGCAAAAAAAGCCCUUUUUGUUGUUUUUAAUGUCCCUGGCAAGCCUGAACUCAUUUUGCGCUUUAGCCUUGCGAACCUUUUUCCUACAGGAGUUGGCUAUAUGUUUGAAUUCUUCUUUGGUGAUUUCUCCCCUUUUCCACUUCUUGUGCAUUUCUCUCUUGAGUAUUAGCCCGGUUAGAAGUUCUUUGGACAUCCACUCUGGCUUCUUUGCACUUGUCUUAUUUUUUUUCUUUGUUGGCACUGUUAGCAUUUGCGUCUUGAGUAUUUCACUUUAAAAAAACUCAUCCAUCCUUAACUCCCUUGUCUUUUAAUAUUGGCGUCCAUGGAAUGCCGCUCAGUAUUUCCUUCAUUUUUUGGAAGUCAGCUCUCUUAAAGUCCAGAAUGCGUGUUUGACUUGUCUUAGUUUCAGCCUUCCUUUGUAUGGCAAACUCCAGGAGCACAUGGUCACUUGCCCCUAAGGAUCCGACGACUUCUACUGUAUUGAUCAGGUCUUCCACAUUUGUUAAGAUUAGAUCAAGAGUUUCUGAUCCCCUUGUUGACUCUUCUACCUUCUGGACUAUAAAAUUGUCUGCAAGGCAAGUGAGGAAUUUGUUGGACUUUGUGCUCUUGGCCGAGUUUGUUUUCCAGAGAUAUCAGGAUAGUUGAAGUCGCCCAUGACUACUAUAUCUCUUCUUUGUGCCUGUUUUGUCAGCUGCUGACAGAAGUCUUCAUUCAGAAGGAGAUCGCACCCAGUUGGUGAAGCUGGGAGGCACGUGCUCACACCCCUGGCCAUUGAACUGUGGGUUCCAUUCUAUCUCCCAUACUUUUUAACAUCUACAUGAAACCGCUGGGUGAGGUCAUCUCGAGUUUUGAAGUUUGGUGCCAUCUGUACGCAAAUGACACUCAACUCUACUACUUCUUUCAAUCAAAUUCCAAGGAAGCCUCCCAGCCUUUUAUAUUUUCGAUUUUUGUCGACAAAGAUUUCGACACCCAUACCAUAUCAAUUCUGGACCAUGUCCGAUGUCUGCUCGAAAAAUAUGUAUAAUCAUUUUCCCCUGGAUUAUGCUCUCUCCAUGCAUCAAUUAAAUCAUAUUCUUCUUUCAGAGCAAUAAUGUUUUUGGUAAUGAGCUAGUGCUUUUCUCUUUUUUUAUUAUUUUAGUUUUGUCCCUCUCUUUAUCUAAAACCCCAUUAAAGUCACCUAGUACUAUAAUGUGAUCAAAGUCUGUUUUAUUAACAUUAUCGUGGAGGAAUUUAAUAAAUUUUGAUUUAGGGCCAUUGGGCGCAUAAAUAUUACAAAUUAGAAUCUUUUCCCCCUCAAUUUCUAUCCUAAUUGCUAUUAUUCUACCUUCUUUAUCCUUAAAUUGUCCUUCUGCAGGUAUCGUAUGAUCUAUAUAUAGUACCAGCCCUCUUUUUUCACUGUGUCUGCAGCUAUAAAUUCAUUUCCAAGAUGGCUAUUUUUUAGGUAAUUUGUAUGAUUUAUGUUGAUAUAUGGAGCCUCUAGUAGCCUAGGGGAUAAAAGCCUUGUGACUUGAAGGUUGGGUUGCUGAUCUGAAAGCUGCCAGGUUCAAAUCCCACCUGGGGAGAGUGAGGAUGAGCUCCCUCUAUCAGCUCCAUGCGGGGACAUGAGAGAAGCCUCCCACAAGGAUGGUGAAACAUCAAAACAUCCGGGCGUCCCCUGGGCAAUGUCCUUGCAGACCACCAGUUCUCUCACUCCAGAAGCAACUCCGGUUGCCCCUGACACACACAAAAAAACCCCGUCGAUAUUGGUCUCCUGCAAGGCUAUGAUGUUAUAACUUCCUUUUCUUAGAGUGUUAAAUAGUCUUUUACGUUUGCUGGGUGAGUUCAGCCCGUUAAUGUUAUUAAAAAACAUUUCAAUGAAAGACUAACUUUAUUCAUCUUUUGGUGUAUCACAGUCGUCUUCAAUGAGUUCUUCUUCUUCCAGUUCCUCUUCAUCAGCUUGAUCCGUAGUCGUGUCCAGUUUGGCCAUUGUUAGUUCUCCUUCUUUGGAUGAAAAAAACCUUCUUUUUUUACUCUUAGGAUUUAUGCCAUGUCCUGUUGUGAGUGAUUGCUCUUCUAAAUUGAUUUCUCUCUUUAAUACUUUGUAGAAGGUUUUUGCUUCUUCCUCAGUUCUCAUCCACUUUUGUUCUCCUUUAUAAGUCGCUAUUAGGCCUUCAUACUUUUCUCAUCUAUAUUUGAUUUGAAGUUUUUUAAGUGUAUCUGUUAGGAAAUAAUAUUUCCUUCUUCUGUUUAAUAUCGUCUGUGGUAAUUCCUUUAGGAUAGUUACUUUUCUGUCCUUGUAACAUAUAGGCUUGGAGGCGUUCCUUCUCAGGAUUUCAUCCCAUGUGGGGUUUUUUUUUCAAAAAAUGAACAAUAAUGUCUCUAAUUGCCUUGGGUUUUUUUUUGUGUAAUUAGUAUGAAUCCUAUAUACUCUAUCAAUCUGCCCACACGCUUCCUGUUCUGUGCAUUGUAAUAUUCUAGCUGUUAAUUGUGCAAUCACCCAUCCAAUAUUCUCAUCCUUCUCCUCUUGCACAUUCCUAAAUCUUAACUGAAUUCUAACAAUUGGUAGUCAAUUUUUUCUUGAAUUUUCCCAAGUCUUCUCUCUUUUUCCUCUAGCUGGUCCAUUUUUUUUCUGUAAUUUGAUUUGCUCUAUGUCAAUCUUUGUUUUCUACUCUAAGGUCAUUAAUGUCAUUUGUAUUUUUCACUGUUUCCUUUUUUAUCGCACCUAAUUCUUCUCUGAUUUCUUUCUUCAGUUCAGACAUCUCUUCUUGUAGGUUCUUUUGUUGUUGAUCUUGUUUCUUCGCUAUUGUUUGCACCUCCUUUUGUAACAAAUCCUGUUUUUCUGAAAUUAUCUUAAUUUCCCUAAGAAUGUCCGUUAAGCUACGCUCCUCUGGUAAGGAGGAUCUAUGAGUGGACAUUUUAUAGUCCUUGAGUUCUUUAUCUGGCUUCCAUCUAGAGGAUGACAUCUUCGUUUGUUAAAUUAUAGAGCCGUUAUCUUUAACACCACUAGAGGGGGCCAACUGUCAAAUCUAGAUGAAAAUAGGGGUAAAGCCCCUUAAAAAAAACCAAAGUAAGGUUGUCACUACCCCUCUUGGAGUUCAAAGUCCAAUAUGGUGAGUGUAGAGUCUUUUAGCCUAUCUAGAUAUGCUUCUCAAUAGCAGCUGCAGAUUAUGCUAUGCAGUACUUCCUGCCCCUGCCUCUUAAUCGGCUAGUUGACAAGUUUGCUCUACACUUACAGUCCCCCUGGUUUCCUGGGCACUGGGUCCGACCAAAUCAGGUUAAAUACCCCUACCUUGGGUUUGCUUCUUCAGCUUGUCUUGCUGAGAUUCCUUGUUAUACGUUUCUUAUCUCCUUAUCUUGUGUUUCAGCGGGUCCGUCUCUUUUUCCCUCUGACCCUGUUCUCUGCUUAGCACUUCUCCCAAUUCCUUAUUUUUACUUCCUUUGGCAGGCCCGCUAGCGAGAACCUUGGCAAUUACUUAGAUUUUGUAUAGAUGCCACUCUUGCACGUUUUUUCUCUAUGGUUCUAGUUUCCCACUUCUGGUCCUUCCGGUCCGCGCUUUAGUCGCUCUGUGAUUUCCUUUUCCGGCCUCGUGGGCUACUCUAUAGUUGGUGCGUUUCGUUAUUUAUUCCCCAGAAGAGAGUAAUCCGAGCUUUAGUUCUUUUCCCGCUUCCGCUUCAUUCUGUGCUCCUUGGGGGAGACGCCGCCUCUUUUUUGUUUGUUUUGGGAGAAGGCAGUCCUAGUCAAAACAAUAUGGCAUUCAAGGUCAGUAGAAUUUUAUUUUUAUUUCUGCAGUUCCUGAUCUUUCAACAACCUGGUUUUCUAAUUUUGUAACUUCUCCGCGGUGUGUUCUUAUUCCCUUAUUUUAUCAAUUAGACGACAAUCUUCAAAUUCCCUGCUAUCCGGGCCCCAAAGCACAAUUCACAUUCAAUUCGUCCGAUGUGGCCUGAUAGUUAGCUAGCCUUUUAAAUCUUAAAAUGUUGUUACGGAUAGAGGGUCUCUUAAAGAAUUUUGGACCACUUCUUUUCCUGAGGAUUAGCAGUUCACUUACCUCCUCUCUUUUGUCUUCAUACCCUUGGAGCGAAUGAGGCUGACAGCAUGUGCUGGUUGACCCGCUAGCUGCUGUCUUUCGGACCCACUGGAUCCCUGUCCUUGAGGGGCGAGGAUCGCCUGGGGCUGUCGAAAGAUCCUGCGGUUGUAGCAUCUCCCCCCAGACUCAAUCCGUGGGAUGAGAGGGAGCUAAUGCUCUACCAGGUCAUUCCUUGCAGUUGACUACCUGAGAGCUCUCAGCAGAUCCAGCCUGUCGCCAUUAACUCCCCACCGGAACUAAUUCUCACUAAUUUUCUUACAAUAUCUUCCCACUCUCUUUACACCUCUUUAGCACAAUCAGCUGCACUCCUUUUGCCUCUGAAACAUUAGUCUUUCUGGACAUUUUCUUGUAACUGGCUGUCCAUUAAAACUGUAUACAGACAGUCCCCAAGUUACAAAAAAGCUUAAGUUGAAUUUAUAAGUUGGAAUAGGUACAUUUUUAAGUGUAACUCCAACCCAACAUAUAUAUUAGCUUUAGAUAGCAUAGGGAAGGGUUAACACCCCUGUGGUGUUUGUUUUGCUGUCUGUUCCCUGUUCAGGAGAUUUCACCUCCCCUUCUGUCCCUGUGAUAAUUUGAUUAUGAAAAAAAUGGCUUGUUGUGGAAACAAGGAUUGGUGUUAUAGCUUCAGCGGAGACACCUUUUCCCUAUAAGAACCCUUCCAAGAGUAAAUUUCCCUUCCUGGGGGUAGAUUUCUCUCACUUCUUGUUGUCUUACCCCUGUUUUUAACUAUGAGUCAUUUGUAAGUCGGAUGUUUGUAACUCGGGGAAUGGCUGUAGUUUAAAUUGUACCAUGACAUUUUUACACUACAGCCUGAAACAUUGAUCAUUCACUCUAUAUACAAACUUCUCUAUUUUGGAAGUUCGUGGUUGUCAUUAACAAACUGAAACUGUACAUUGGUGAGAUAUGAGGAUCCACAUGGCUUCAUUUAGACAUAAGCUGCUGUCUUUAAAAUAUGAGGACAGUCAUCUUCCUUUAAUAUGAGCAUGCACUAAAUUUCUGUAGUACAGCUUCUCUGAGCUGAUGCCCUCCAGAAGUAUUGAACUCCAGAUAUGUAAUAUGAGUUGUAGUCCUGCCAUGUACACUGGAAUUGAAGGGAGGGGUCUUUAAAGAGCCAUGAAUUUAAGUGGCUUUAAAAGAGCUACUUUAGGAGUAUCCUCCAAAAGUCGAAUGGACAUCGGUAAUCUCCAUCCUGCUUCAAACAGUUCUACCAACUAUAAUAAUCUUUUGAAAGGAAGCAAGAAAGGUUUUUGGUAGUAAAAUAUAUUUAUUUAUUAUAAUGCACGGUAGUCUUAACCUGACAUGUAAAAUAUUAUAGUGCAGUGCUUCUUAAAGUGGGUGAUAUUGCCCCCUGGGGGGCGUGGGAGUGAUCAAGGUAGGCAGUAGCAACCUGGGGAUGCAAUUGGCAAGUAUUGAAUAAAAAUAAGGGGCAAUGGAAGCAUAAAGAAAAGAAAAAUUUUAAAAAAACUUUUGUACAUGUUCUAUCCAUUGUGUAACAUAGAAUUAAAACAAUAUCAAUUACUUUAUUUUUCAAAUAAACAUACAAAAUGCAAGUUAUAACCAAUCAGUGGUCAAAUCUUCUGACAAGUGGAAGGCCAACAGCUUUGCUGACCAUAAAGAAGCUCAACAGAUAACACUGAAAAACAGAACAGUGGUGAAGAGGCACAACCAUAUGGCCAGCAUCAAGAGACUCCAUGCCAAGGAAGGAGCAAAAAGAAAAGGAAGAUCCUGAUCUGAACAAAUUAAUUGCUCUGGAGUCUGAGGGAAUUGUGUGCCAUCCUGAUGUUAUUGAAACUUGGGACCAGUGGACAGGCACCUCCACCAAUCAGCGGAGCAGCAAAAGUAAAUUAUUUGAAUUGCUGCCAAGUCUCUAUAAAAUGUCUCUGUAUGUAUCCAUUGUCUUAUGUCUGGCUUGAGAGUCCUUUCUCUCCUACAUCCACUUUUGGCUGAAGUGAAUAAACCUCUGAUCCUUGCCUUCAAA